AAAAAUGAUAAACAUCAAUCAAUCUUAAUUUGUUUUUUUUUUUGUUUUUUUUCUUUUUUCAAGAGAGCGAUAAUCCAGCCAAGCCCCGUCACUGAAGAAGUGGUGUUAGGAGGUGUGUGGAUGUGUGUGUGUAUUGUGUGUGUGUGUGUGUGUGUUUUUGGAGGGGUGGGGAGGUGAGGGUUGUUGCGCCAAGGCGUCAGGAACGCCAUCGUCGCUCGCCAUGUGUAGCAGGGACGGUGCGUGGAGUUUUCUUUAAAGCCUCUUCAGUAAAAAGGCUGUUAAGGAGCAAAGAGUCCGCACAUCUGGAAGACACAGUCAGUCAGCACAUGCUGAAAGUUAGCGGUGGCGCUCGCAGUCCAAAUUAGUGGCAAGUUUUAUUCCCCCGCUGUGGUAGGAAAAUAUCAAAUCUGCUGCCAUAUGAGUGCCAUAAAGCUGGCUGUGGAGUGUUUGAUGCCUUCAUGUGGGAGCCUUUAAGCUGAGAGUGGGUCUGCAUGUGUGCGGGGGUGUGCGCGCGCGUGUGUGUGUGUGUAUUUAGUGGGAGAUGCAGGCCUUAAUGGGAGAUGAGAGCCAUUGUAUGCAUUCUUGCACAGGCAUAUGUUUUCUGUUUGUGUGCCUCUUAUCACCGUGCGUAUCGACGUCCGUGCAUUCACAGGGAAAUACACCUAUAUAUAUGUGUGUGUGUGUGUGUGUGUGUGUGUGUGCAGCUGUGCCACUUUAGCAGCCCCCUUGCAGACCCAGUUGACCCUGCUGCUAUAGAACAGACAGACACAAGCAGAGUCAGACGGCCCCUGGGGUGGUCCUGUCUGAGGCGCGGUAUUAUGGGCCAACGAGGCUAGGGGCCCAUACGCAGGCAGGGACACGUAUAUUGUAAUUGCACACACACACAUAUGUAUAGGUCCAAGGACAGAUGUGUGUAAAAGCUAGAAUACAUACAAGAAAGAAAUCUGAUGGAAAGGUUAAAUAUCUUUACCCUUAAUUUUUGUUCCAAUCGGCAGCCUUUAAUUUGCCCAUUUAUUGUUGCACAUGUGCAAACUUUAAGAGGACUCAAGCAGUUCCUUUCACUUUCACUAAAUUGCUGAAAAAUGGCAGACAAAGCUCGCAAACCACAAAAAUAUUUUAUGCUCAUCCUGCAACUACCUGCAGGUAGGUGUGCAGAUGCGAGCGGCGGGGUGACACAUCACCAAUCAUUUCUGCACAAACCUCCAGAAAAUAACUGAAACUGGAAUAAUUAUUCUGUUAUACAUACUAGCAAACUUCAACUGUGAUAGCUGAUGUUACUAAAUGUGUAAUUUGGGGGGUGGGGGAAGGAGCAAGUGUAUGUCAUUUCCUCCAAAAAAAGGAAAAAAAAAAAGAAAGCAGUGGAAUAAGGGGCAAAUCUGCAACUCGCAAAAGCAAGAAUUAAAAAAAAAAAAAUUAACAUGCCUGCAAGGAGACUCAAACUAAAUUCCCUGGCAAGCAUUCAGAUCACUCAUGUAAGAACACCCACACGCACAUAUACUACUUUACACAUCUCCCACCAUGUGACCCCUAAUCACAACCCCAGAGCUUGGACAUCAAAUGAAGCAAGUUUGAAAAAAAAAAAAAAAAAUCAUCAGGAGUAAUUAACGCAUUUUCAUAUGCAAAUGUGAUUAAUGCAAAACUACAAAGUCAUUAUGCAAAUCGACUUUUCCUUGAGCCUCUGUACAAAUAUUCGCAGCUCAAAUCAGGGAUCAGUCUCGCCAUCUUUCUUUUUUUCUUUUUUUUUUUAUCUCCUUUUCCCUCUAUCUCUCACUCUCUCUCGGAGCAGAGAUAAUACGUAAGUAGCAUAUGAAGUUAUUUCCGAACUCACGCGGUGUGUGUGUGUGUGUGUGUUUUCAUGCGAUGGGGCCGGGGCUAUGGCAUUACGCCGCCUGCCUACUGAUUACUGGCUGCUUGGCACUGGAGCGAGACGGGGAAGCCGGCGAACAGGGGAAGGUAUGAAUAUGCAAAAGCCUGAUUGCUUUUCAUGAUUAAAGCCUAUUUAAUAUGGAAAUGAGAGCAAGCCAGGUGAUUAAAGGAGCAUUGGGUGGUUGGGCAAAAUAAAAAAAAA